GUAGGUGGCAAGCGUUGUCCGGGAAUUAUUGGGGCGUAAAGCGCGCGCAGGCGGUUCUUUAAGUCUGAUGUGAAAGCCCACGGGCUCAACCGUGGAGGGUCAUUGGAAACUGGAGAUCUUGAGUACAGAAGAGGAAAGCGGAAUUCCACGUGUAGCGGUGAAAUGCGUAGAGAUGUGGAGGAACACCAGUGGCGAAGGCGGCUUUCUGGUCUGUAACUGACGCUGAGGCGCGAAAGCGUGGGGAGCAAACAGGAUUAGAUACCCUGGUAGUCCACGCCGUAAACGAUGAGUGCUAAGUGUUAGGGGGUUUCCGCCCCUUAGUGCUGCAGCUAACGCAUUAAGCACUCCGCCUGGGGAGUACGGCCGCAAAGGCUG
rnacentral:rRNA from 1 species